CCUGUCCAUCCACAGCAGCUCCAAUACCUUCAGGUACUACUGAGUCACCCUGUCCAUCCACAGCAGCUCCAAAACCUUCAGGUACUACUGAGUCACCCUGUCCAUCCACAGCAGCUCCAAUACCUUCAGGUACUACUGAGUCACCCUCACACCAUGACACUGUAGCAGCUCUUAUACCCUCAGGUACUACUGAGUCACCCUGUCCAUCCACAGCAGCUCCAAUACCUUCAGGUACUACUGAGUCACCCUGUCCAUCCACAGCAGCUCCAAUACCUUCAGGUACUACUGAGUCACCCUGUCCAUCCACAGCAGCUCCAAUACCUUCAGGUACUACUGAGUCACC